UACAUGAGUGGCUAGCGUUACUCGUAGUUACUGAGCGUACAGGAUGCGUAGACUGUUUAAACGCAAAAAAUAAACUAAAUUAUUUGUAUUAAAUUUAUUUUUUGCAAAUAAAACUUGAAUAUUUUAAAAGUUUAUAAUUGUUACAAAUGAGUGAUAAAAUACUGAGAGUUAGUAAUUAUUUCCAAUUGGUGAAGACAUUAUGCUAUAAAAUAUUGACGUUGAUGCAUUAAAGUAUAGUUAACAACUAGGAUUUGAGACCCUACUAGUCUAUACCUUAAAAGAUGAGUAUUAGAAAGCUAACGCGUAAAUACUCCGCUUGGGCAGUACGAUUGCAAAAUCGAAACUUAACUGAAUUGGCGGGAAUUUGUUUGAACGGUGGAGCAUGUGGUUUAAAGCGAUAAUCCGCGCAAAAUCUUACCAGCGUCGUGUCUAAUAUAAUAUAAUUAAUUUUAUUAUAAAAAAAUAUUAGCUAUAGGUACUGCAUGGCUGUCGUCAGUUCGUGCUUUAUGGCGUAGAAUUUAGUUUCUAUAACGAAUGUAACCCGUUUUAUAUUAUUUUUUAUAUAUUGUAAUAUAUAAUUUAAAUAUAAAUCUUUGACAAAUUAUUUAAAAAUAUAAUGUCUGAAGGGUUUGUGGCUGAAGUCAAGUCUUUAUGGUCUUUAUAUGUUGGGCUACACACGUGUUACAAAGAUAAAAACAAAGAGAUACGAAAAGUUAAUUUGUAGUUAAUCUUUAAAAAUUAUCAUAGUUCGAAUUGUUUUCUGAAAUUCGAAAACAUGAAGGUGAAAUCGUUAGUAAUCGUAGAUUAGUACGCUACGGUGAAUAUAACAUCAAAUUC
rnacentral:rRNA from 1 species